ACACACUGUUAAACCUCUGAUUCUUGUGUCAUUGGACUGAUGACAAAGACAACAGAGAAAUGAAGCAGUAAAGAUCAGAGACAGAGACAGAGCUGCUGUGGAAGCAGAAAACUAUUUGAUUGGCUGAGCUAUUAAACUGGCCCCGCCCACUGAAGUUGAGCUCAUCCAAUGACAUUAUUUGUUGGUCAUUGUGCUGCAGUGGAAGAACAUUGUUCAUGUGCUGUCUGUCUGGCUUUAAUAACUCCAAAGACAUGUUGCUGCACCUCUUUUUGCUUCUAUCUCACAUUAUAGGACUAACAGCUGGAGACUCAAUCACUCCUCAACAACCUGAAGUCACUGAAACAGAAGGAGAAUCUGUCAAACUCACAUGUAGCUAUGAGACGAGUUACAGAAAUAUUUACCUUCACUGGUACAGACAUUAUUCUGAACUUCAGGCUCCUCUGUUUGCUGUCAAGAAAGGAGCAAAGGGAUUCAAGAAUCUGUAUACAUCUGAUAAUCGAUAUAAAUCAGAAACAUCUUCUACAUCAACUAAUCUGACCAUAACAGCCCUAACCCUGGCAGACACAGCUCUCUACUACUGUGCUCUAG
ensembl:lncRNA